GAAACCAACCGGGAUUGCCUCAGUAACGGCGAGUGAAGCGGCAAAAGCUCAAAUUUGAAAUCUGCGUAAGCCGAGUUGUAAUUUGAAGAUGGCUACUUUGGUAAUGGCUCUUGUCUAUGUUCCUUGGAACAGGACGUCACAGAGGGUGAGAAUCCCGUGCGAUGAGAUGUCCAUUACCGUGUAAAGUGCUUUCGAAGAGUCGAGUUGUUUGGGAAUGCAGCUCUAAGUGGGUGGUAAAUUCCAUCUAAAGCUAAAUAUUGGCGAGAGACCGAUAGCGAACAAGUACAGUGAUGGAAAGAUGAAAAGAACUUUGAAAAGAGAGUGAAAAAGUACGUGAAAUUGUUGAAAGGGAAGGGCUUGAGAUCAGACUUGGUAUUUUGUAUGGCUUGCUUUCGGGCGGGUCCUCUGCAGUUUACUGGGCCAGCAUCGGUUUGGGUGGCAGGAUAAUAGCAUAGGAAUGUGGCUCUACUUCGGUGGAGUGUUAUAGCCUUUGUUGAUACUGCCUGCCUAGACCGAGGACUGCGUCUUUUGACUA
rnacentral:rRNA from 1 species